CGGGGUAUAGCUCAGCCUGGUAGAGCACCGGUUUUGGGAACCGGGGGUCGAGUGUUCGAAUCACUCUGCCCCGACCA
rnacentral:tRNA from 10 species